AAAUUUCUUGAUUUCUGUGACCUACACCACAGUUCACGGAAACACCAGAUCUUUAACCCUCUGAGCAAGGCCAGGGAUCAAACCUGCACCCUCAUGGAAACUAGUUGGGUUCGUAACCCCCUGAGCCACAACAGGAACUCCCACGUGCCCUUCAAUUCUCCUUUUUAAUAGCCGUACAUAUUCCAUUCAGUGAAUAUAUCAUAAUUCAUUUGACCCUAACGAUGGCCCCUUAUCUAUUUUUCAUGUUCCCCACAUAGUAAAUAAUACUGUGAUGUGCACUUCUUUACAAAAAUAUUUCUGCUUAUUUCCUCAGAUAAGACUCAUCAAAGUAGAACUUCUGAGACAAAUUGUGUAGAUGUGUUUAAAGUCUGACGCAUUUUGUCCAUCUCUUCAUUUUACAGAGGAGGAAACUGAGGAACAGAGAUGGUGAUCUUCCACGUGGGCCUUUCUCAGAAACGGCUGCCUCGGCCCCAAGAACCACGGUGACAGGCCUGCUCUGGGGUUAGCUCAGGUGCCUACUCUCCCAAGACGGCGAGCCAAGACCCUUCCCCCUUCCCCGUGGGACACCACACACCUCCAGCUUUCUCGGGAUUACGAGACCAC
rnacentral:lncRNA from 1 species